CGGUGUUGUAUGUGGAGGAUGAGGGCUGCAGUAGAUAACUCAGAUAGAGGGGAGUGAGGCCUAAGAGAGUUUUAUAAAUAGGCACCAACCACUGGGUCUUGCGACGGGUAUACAGAGAUGACCAGUUUACAAAGGAGCAUUGGUGGAAAAUCUGAUUGCCGAAUGGUAAAGAACAUCUAGCUGCUCGAGCGCACCCUUACCUGCCGAUCCAUAAAUUAAGUCUCCGUAAUCUAAAAUAGAUCAUCUACAAAAGCGAUCACAAGACCCCAGGGAAAAACAAAGGAGUAAGGAAGAGUAGCUGCAAGGCAGCAGCUAAUGGGGAUCCUCAAUAAAUACAAAUACACAAACUGUGCUGAGGUUGAGGAUCUUGAUGGGGUAGCUGAUAAUGACGAAGCGACAUCACUGUGAUACUGGGUAUGCAUGAGGAUAUUACAUUUGUGUCAGAUGUAUGCUUACAUCACAAUGAUAUAUCUGUGACGGUGGAUGUAUGUGAGGAAAAUGUGGUGUCAGACUCUAUCGAUCGUGGUUAUGCCGUUCAGGAAACCACUUGUGUUCCUGAACACAACUACAAUGUGAUGGAAUUACCCAGAACACUGAACCGCAACUUGAGGUCAGUAGGAGACAAACUGUAAACAUUUAUAAACAAGUUAAAAAUUGUAGAAGGAAAAAACACAUUUUCACUUUGUUACGUUUAGAUUUAUUGAAUGUGCACCAAUGACGGCAUCCUUUGUUCCACUGGUCUCUUUACCGCAUGUUAUGUUCUUAACUAACAUCGUCUUUGUCUGCUGACAACCCACUCAUUGUCGGUACCUUGACGCGGUGAGUGGGGUUCAAACCAAGACAGACCAUUCAUUUAUCAUUUCUUUCAAAUGCUCACAUAAUCACCUGUGUGUGUGUGUGUGCCCUUUCCCUCUCCCUUCUGCAGGUGUGACUGUCACAGCUGCAACAUAACUAUUCAACAUGACAGAGUGAGUAGUUAUUAGAAAUUGAGUGUGAAUUGAACUAUGAACUAUGAAUACUGCUCCAGUGUUAAUGUUAUUAUGUGCCAUGGAUGUGCUGUGUUUUGGUAGCUUUCAUUAUAUUCAGGUGACCUGACUCGGACGCAGUGGCAGCCCUACCCACCUGGUGGCCUGUAAUUGGCUGGUAUCUUAUCUGCAAUAAGAAUGGAGGCAACAGAGACAAUGGCAGGACGCCUCCCAGGAGGAAGCCCUGUAAAGAGGGACACAUUUUAUCCAUACUUCCUCAUUGGCGUGACUGUCAUGUAGCGUUUCUGUUCACAUGCCACUUAUCUGAGCUCCUCGUGUGUAUUCCAGUCUCAUGACACCCAAAGCAACACUGCCACCACUGCUGCACCUUCAGACAACCCUUCACUAGCUACUCACGUAAACAGGGAGGACCUUUUCAUAUUCCUUCAUUAGUGUGACAGCUAACAUUGUUAAUCACAUGCCAUUUAUCCUAUUCCACUUGUGUGUUCUAGGCUGCCUGUCGUGAUUUAUUUAAAAUUCAAUGAACACUUAACCAGCAUGGCUACCACAGCAUUAUGCAGCUAUAUGCCAUCCUAUCUGGUUUGCGUUUAGUGGGACUAUCAUUUGUUUUUCAACAGGACAAUGACCUAACACACCUCCAGUCUGUAACGGCUAUUUGACCAAGAAGGAGAGUGAUGGAGUGCUGCAAGAGAUGACC
ensembl:lncRNA